UCGUGUCCGGGGCUCUGGCGGCCGGCGGCUUCUCCGGCAAGGCGCAGAUGGGCCCGGCCAUGAAGGCGGCUCAGGCCGCUGUCGCGGG
rnacentral:tRNA from 1 species